AGCGAACGCUGGCGGCAGGCUUAACACAUGCAAGUCGAACGCCCCGCAAGGGGAGUGGCAGACGGGUGAGUAACACGUGGGAACGUACCCUUUGGUUCGGAAUAACUUGGGGAAACUCAAGCUAAUACCGGAUAAGCCGUUAUGGGGAAAGGUUUACUGCCGAAGGAUCGGCCCGCGUCUGAUUAGCUAGUUGGGGAGGUAAUGGCUCACCAAGGCGACGAUCAGUAGCUGGUCUGAGAGGAUGAUCAGCCACACUGGGACUGAGACACGGCCCAGACUCCUACGGGAGGCAGCAGUGGGGAAUAUUGGACAAUGGGGGCAACCCUGAUCCAGCCAUGCCGCGUGAGUGAUGAAGGCCUUAGGGUUGUAAAGCUCUUUUACCCGGGACGAUAAUGACUGUACCGGGAGAAUAAGCCCCGGCUAACUUCGUGCCAGCCGCCGCGGUAA
rnacentral:rRNA from 1 species